rnacentral:pre_miRNA from 1 species
CAGAAGAAUCUGUGAAGCUCAGGAGGGAUAGCGCCAUGGAUCUCUCUCUCUCUCUCUCUCUCUCUCUAGGCGCAAGCGUGUGUGUGAGUUGAGCAUGAUCAAUAGCGCUAUCCAUCCUGAGCUUCAUCGGAUCUUCUU